ACAUCGGAACGUGUCCUGUAGUGGGGGAUAGCCCGGCGAAAGCCGGAUUAAUACCGCAUACGCUCUACGGAGGAAAGGGGGGGAUCUUAGGACCUCCCGCUACAGGGGCGGCCGAUGGCAGAUUAGCUAGUUGGUGGGGUAAAGGCCUACCAAGGCGACGAUCUGUAGCUGGUCUGAGAGGACGACCAGCCACACUGGGACUGAGACACGGCCCAGACUCCUACGGGAGGCAGCAGUGGGGAAUUUUGGACAAUGGGGGCAACCCUGAUCCAGCAAUGCCGCGUGUGUGAAGAAGGCCUUCGGGUUGUAAAGCACUUUUGUCCGGAAAGAAAACGCCGUGGUUAAUACCCGUGGCGGAUGACGGUACCGGAAGAAUAAGCACCGGCUAACUACGUGCCAGCAGCCGCGGUAAUACGUAGGG
rnacentral:rRNA from 1 species